UAAAUGAAAACCAAAUAAUUUAGGUGUUUAAUUGUUAAUUAAAAUAUUGUAAGAUAAUAAUUUACUCAUUUAG
rnacentral:tRNA from 1 species